UACGUAGGGUGCGAGCGUUAAUCGGAAUUACUGGGCGUAAAGCGUGCGCAGGCGGCGCGUUAAGACAGGUGUGAAAGCCCCGAGCUUAACUUGGGAAUUGCGCUUGUGACUGGCGUGCUGGAGUGUGGCAGAGGGAGGUAGAAUUCCACGUGUAGCAGUGAAAUGCGUAGAGAUGUGGAGGAAUACCGAUGGCGAAGGCAGCCUCCUGGGCCAACACUGACGCUCAUGCACGAAAGCGUGGGGAGCAAACAGG
rnacentral:rRNA from 1 species